GGCUCAGGAUGAACGCUGGCGGCGUGCCUAACACAUGCAAGUCGAGCGGAGAUGCUGGAGAUUCUCGGAUGAUCCAUUCAUCUAGCGGCGGAUGGGUGAGUAACACGUGGGUAACCUGCCCUGCACAGGGGGAUAACAGCUGGAAACGGCUGUUAAUACCGCAUAUGCACACGCUGCCGCAUGGCAGAGGGUGGAAAGAUUUAUCGGUGCAGGAUGGGCCCGCGUCGGAUUAACUAGUUGGCAGGGUAACGGCCUACCAAGGUGAUGAUCCGUAGCCGACCUGAGAGGGUGACCGGCCACAUUGGGACUGAGACACGGCCCAAACUCCUACGGGAGGCAGCAGUGGGGGAUAUUGCACAAUGGGCGGAAGCCCUGAUGCAGCGACGCCGCGUGAAGGAAGAAGUAUUUCGGUAUGUAAACUUCUAUCAGCGGGGAAGAAGAUGACGGUACCCGACUAAGAAGCCCCGGCUAACUACGUGCCAGCCGCGGC
rnacentral:rRNA from 1 species